CAGUCGCCGCGGGAAUACGGAAGGUGCAAGCGUUAAUCGGAAUUACUGGGCGUAAAGCGCACGCAGGCGGUCUGUCAAGUCGGAUGUGAAAUCCCCGGGCUCAACCUGGGAACUGCAUUCGAAACUGGCAGGCUAGAGUCUUGUAGAGGGGGGUAGAAUUCCAGGUGUAGCGGUGAAAUGCGUAGAGAUCUGGAGGAAUACCGGUGGCGAAGGCGGCCCCCUGGACAAAGACUGACGCUCAGGUGCGAAAGCGUGGGGAGCAAACAGGAUUAGAUACCCCGGUAGUCCCUGUCUCUUAUAA
rnacentral:rRNA from 1 species